UACGUAGGGUGCGAGCGUUAAUCGGAAUUACUGGGCGUAAAGCGUGCGCAGGCGGUGAUGUAAGACAGCUGUGAAAUCCCCGGGCUCAACCUGGGACCUGCAUUUGUGACUGCAUCGCUAGAGUACGGCAGAGGGGGAUGGAAUUCCGCGUGUAGCAGUGAAAUGCGUAGAUAUGCGGAGGAACACCGAUGGCGAAGGCAAUCCCCUGGGCCUGUACUGACGCUCAUGCACGAAAGCGUGGGGAGCAAACAGG
rnacentral:rRNA from 1 species